rnacentral:rRNA from 1 species
UGCAUGCUUGCGUGCCACCUGUAAAUACAACACCAUACAGUGGAUCAUUUGGCUCAGGGUCGAUGAAGAACGGAGCUAGCUCCGAGACGUAAUGUGAACUGCAGGAUAUACGAAUAUUCGACAUUUUGAACGCAUAUUGCGGACACGCACUUGUUGCGUGUCCAUGUUUGGGUCAGGGUCGGUGAUCAUAUCA